UGUGGGGAGUGUUACCCGAGUGAGUUGUGGGAGAGUUUCCCACCCGACCAGGAGAACCGAGCUCAAGGACGCCGUGUCAGUUUCCCCGAGUUUCCCUCAACUCUGAGCCGCAACAUCCGGUGACUGGCAGUCUCUACCAGAGUGCCGUUUGGGCAACAGCUUCUCCGAAAUAAGAACACUCAAUUGUCGGUGAUGAUAGCAUCAAAGUGACCUUUGAAGAAAAACUAAGCAAUGAUUCCACUGGACCAUAAAGCGCACCACGCGCGUCUUUGUGCGCGUCCCCUUUCAGCCUUGGAACAUUAUGAACGUCCCCUCUGUGACAUUACGUUAGUCAUAAAAGACUGCCAUUGAACAAAUUCUGAACGACCUGUUUUCCCCAGAUCCCCGCUAGGUCGCCAUGUUUUACAAGCGAUCAUCUCGAGCACUACAAUGUCAAAUGCGCUGGUGGCCAUCAAAACAAAACCCGGAGAUCGGUUAGCUCCCACAAUUAUGGACUCUGUUUCGAGAGCGAAGAACUAUGUAUCGGCUCAAGGAGGAGCGUCACAGAUAAAGUUGAAGGAAAAUUCGAAGGCAAAGUUCAACAAAACCCUGUA